ACGAAGGUUGCAAGCGUUACUCGGAAUUACUAGGCGUAAAGGGCAGGUAGGUGGUUUGGUAAGUCUGUUGUGAAAGCUCCUGGCUUAACUGGGAGAGGUCAAUAGAUACUGCCGAACUUGAGUAUAGGAGAGGUUACUGGAAUUCCCGGUGUAGCGGUGAAAUGCGCAGAGAUCGGGAGGAACACCAAUGGCGAAAGCAGGUAACUGGACUAUUACUGACGCUAAGCUGCGAAAGCUAGGGGAGCAAACAGGA
rnacentral:rRNA from 1 species